GAUGAAGAACGUAGUGAAAUGCGAUACGUAAUGUGAAUUGCAGAAUUCAGUGAACCAUCGAAUCUUUGAACGCACAUUGCGCCCGCUGGAACUCCGGCGGGCACGCCUGUCCGAGCGUCAUUUCAACCCUCAGGCCCCCCUUCGCGGGCGGGCCUGGUGUUGGGGCCCGGCCGCUACCCUGCGGCCGUCCCCUAAAUCCAGUGGCGGCCUCGCCGUGAUCCCUUGCGUAGUAAUGCACCUCGCACCGGAGAGCGCCGUGGCCACGCCGUAAAACCCCCAAUUUUCAAUGGUUGACCUCGGAUCAGGUGGGAAUACCCGCUGAACUUAAGCAUAUCAAUAAGCGGAGGA
rnacentral:misc_RNA from 1 species